AUUUUAUCAAAGAAAAGAAAGAAACGAAGAAAAAAAAAAGACCCCGUAUGUGUGUCACUAGUUGAUUCCAUCUGAAAUAAGCAGUCGAUCCAGAAUAAUUUCCGUUGUUUUUUUUUUACAUAGUUUAAAGAAUAAAACAAAUCCGGCAGAAGCAGGGAUUGCAACAACCGGGUCAGGCUCAUGUUGUCGCCGGUGUAUUAAUAGCUACCCUAAAAUAGUGAUAGACAAAAGAUUUAAAAAGAUUUAAAAAAGAAGAUGUGGUAUGAUUGCCAAUGACACAACUCUCCAAAAGAGACCAACUGACAUAGAAAUUAACAACUAGUAUAGGUCACCGUAUGGCUUUUUACAAUGAGCACAGUCCAUACCGCAUAGUCAGAUAUAAAAGGCCCCGAAAUGACAAAAUUAAUGUAAAACAAUUCAAACGAGAAAACU
rnacentral:lncRNA from 1 species